rnacentral:lncRNA from 12 species
UGCAGCAUGUGGCUCAAUGUCGAUUAGAGUCAUAAAUUACUUGAGUAAUGCUAAUUAUUCUUUGCCUUCAGUGCUUCUGAUCAAUAUAUUUGUGUUGGAUUUUGUUGGUUUUUUUUUUUGUUUUUUACUUUAAAUGUAUGUCUUUGUAUAUAUUAGAUUUCCCAACAAUGAGCACAGGACCAAGAGCAGAGAUCAUGCUUGUCUUAUUUUUCAUUGUUUCCUCCUGUACCUGGCUUGGUAAAGAGAACAUAGUAAACACUCAAUAAAUAUUUGUUGACUGAGUAAUUGAAUAAUUGAAAGGGCCUGCCUUUGCUAAGGCAGGGUUAAUAUAUUUGUGUAUACUCUGUAGCACUGCUUUGAAACUCUUCUCAGAAAAACCAAUGAAUUGCAGAGGAAUCACUGGGGGUUCUUCUAAAACAAAUGAGUUCAUAGGGACAUGAUUCAUUCCUGCCUGCUCCUAAGCUAUCAGAUCUUACCCAAGUGUUUGCAUUCCAGGAAGAAGAUCUACAUAAAAGAGCUCUUCAGCUUCAGAAAGUUUGAAAAGCAUGAUCAGAUUGAGAGUCUGGUUUGGAGGCCACGGCACUCUCACAGGAUGUAGCAGACACUGGCUAAACAUCGCUGUCAUAUUCUUCUCCUUCCUGGGUGCACAGAAAUACAGAGGCAUGUAGCCUAAGAGGCUGGGCUGACAAUCAGAUGCAGCAGAGAGGGUGGCCGACCUCACCCUGGAACAACAAGGGAUGGAGCAGGUGUUCCCCUGCGGGCUGAUGGAGAGUGUGAGCACCAGAAAUAAAUAUAAGGACACCAGGCUCGAAAAGGAAUGG